UAGGGAAUCUUCGGCAAUGGGGGGAACCCUGACCGAGCAACGCCGCGUGAGUGAAGAAGGUUUUCGGAUCGUAAAGCUCUGUUGUUAAGGAAGAACGAGUGUGAGAAUGGAAAGUUCAUACUGUGACGGUACUUAACCAGAAAGGGACGGCUAACUACGUGCCAGCAGCCGCGGUAAUACGUAGGUCCCGAGCGUUGUCCGGAUUUAUUGGGCGUAAAGCGAGCGCAGGCGGUUAGAUAAGUCUGAAGUUAAAGGCAGUGGCUCAACCAUAGUAGGCUUUGGAAACUGUUUAACUUGAGUGCAGAAGGGGAGAGUGGAAUUCCAUGUGUAGCGGUGAAAUGCGUAGAUAUAUGGAGGAACACCGGUAGCGAAAGCGGCUCUCUGGUCUGUAACUGACGCAGAGGCUCGAAAGCGUGGGGAGCGAACAGG
rnacentral:rRNA from 1 species